AGAGUUUGAUCAUGGCUCAGGACGAACGCUGGCGGCACGCUUAACACAUGCAAGUCGAACGAGAGAAGAGGAGCUUGCUUUUCUGAUCUAGUGGCGGACGGGUGAGUAACACGUGAGCAAUCUGCCUUUCAGAGGGGGAUACCGAUUGGAAACGAUCGUUAAUACCGCAUAACAUAAUUGAACCGCAUGAUUUGAUUAUCAAAGAUUUAUCGCUGAAAGAUGAGCUCGCGUCUGAUUAGCUAGUUGGUAAGGUAACGGCUUACCAAGGCGACGAUCAGUAGCCGGACUGAGAGGUUGAUCGGCCACAUUGGGACUGAGACACGGCCCAGACUCCUACGGGAGGCAGCAGUGGGGAAUAUUGCACAAUGGAGGAAACUCUGAUGCAGCGAUGCCGCGUGAGGGAAGAAGGUUUUAGGAUUGUAAACCUCUGUCUUCAGGGACGAAAAAAGACGGUACCUGAGGAGGAAGCUCCGGCUAACUACGUGCCAGCAGCCGCGGUAAUACGUAGGGAGCGAGCGUUGUCCGGAAUUACUGGGUGUAAAGGGAGCGUAGGCGGGAUCGCAAGUCAGAUGUGAAAACUAUGGGCUUAACCCAUAAACUGCAUUUGAAACUGUGGUUCUUGAGUGAAGUAGAGGUAAGCGGAAUUCCUAGUGUAGCGGUGAAAUGCGUAGAUAUUAGGAGGAACAUCAGUGGCGAAGGCGGCUUACUGGGCUUUAACUGACGCUGAGGCUCGAAAGCGUGGGGAGCAAACAGGAUUAGAUACCCUGGUAGUCCACGCCGUAAACGAUGAUUACUAGGUGUGGGGGGACUGUCCCCUUCCGUGCCGCAGCAAACGCAAUAAGUAAUCCACCUGGGGAGUACGACCGCAAGGUUGAAACUCAAAGGAAUUGACGGGGGCCCGCACAAGCAGUGGAGUAUGUGGAUUAAUUCGAAGCAACGCGAAGAACCUUACCAGGUCUUGACAUCGUAUGCAUAGCUCAGAGAUGAGUGAAAUCUCUUCGGAGACAUAUAGACAGGUGGUGCGUGGUUGUCGUCAGCUCGUGUCGUGAGAUGUUGGGUUAAGUCCCGCAACGAGCGCAACCCUUACUGUUAGUUGCUACGCAAGAGCACUCUAGCAGGACUGCCGUUGACAAAACGGAGGAAGGUGGGGAUGACGUCAAAUCAUCAUGCCCCUUAUGACCUGGGCCUCACACGUACUACAAUGGCUGUCAACAGAGGGAAGCAAAGCCGCGAGGUGGAGCGAACCCCUAAAAGCAGUCUUAGUUCGGAUUGUAGGCUGCAACCCGCCUACAUGAAGUCGGAAUUGCUAGUAAUCGCAGAUCAGCAUGCUGCGGUGAAUACGUUCCCGGGCCUUGUACACACCGCCCGUCACGCCAUGGGAGUCGGUAACACCCGAAGCCUGUAGUCUAACCGCAAGGAGGACGCAGUCGAAGGUGGGAUUGAUGACUGGGGUGAAGUCGUAACAAGGUA
rnacentral:rRNA from 1 species